rnacentral:tRNA from 3 species
GGAGACGUGGCCGAGAGGCUGAAGGCGGCGGUUUGCUAAAUCGUUAUACCCUCUAAAGGGGUAUCAGGGGUUCGAAUCCCCUCGUCUCCGCCA